UACGUAGGGUCCAAGCGUUAUCCGGAAUCACUGGGCGUAAAGCGUCUGUAGGUGGUCAAAUAAGUCAACUGUUAAAUCUUGAGGCUCAACCUCAAAAUCGCAGUCGAAACUAUUAGACUAGAGUAUAGUAGGGGUAAAGGGAAUUUCCAGUGGAGCGGUGAAAUGCGUAGAGAUUGGAAAGAACACCGAUGGCGAAGGCACUUUACUGGGCUAUUACUAACACUCAGAGACGAAAGCUAGGGUAGCAAAUGGG
rnacentral:rRNA from 1 species